rnacentral:ncRNA from 1 species
GCACAGGCGACGACGGGAACGAGUAGCCCUCGUGCUCAGACAGCAGAGAGCCGCGCCGGUGCAAGGCGGCGUCGAGCAGAUGGCGAAGAUCCUCCCCGAGCCUCCGCCCGAACCGGAUGAAGUAGGAGCGGACGGUCUCGCCGACCGUUAGCGACGGCGCAUCGGUGAUAGCCGAUAAAACGAGUGCGUCACGCGAGUGACGAACUCAGGUGGUACCGCGGGUCUCGAGCCCGUCCUGAGA